rnacentral:rRNA from 1 species
ACUCAAAUGAAUAGACGGGGGCCCGCACAAGCGGUGGAGCAUGUGGUUUAAUUCGACGCAACGCGCAGAACCUUACCAGCCCUUGACAUGGCGUCUAAAGCCGGGCGAGAGCCCGGGGUCCCUUCGGGGGGGCGUCACAGGUGCUGCAUGGCUGUCGUCAGCUCGUGUCGUGAGAUGUUGGGUUAAGUCCCGCAACGAGCGCAACCCUUACCUCUAGUUGCCAGCGGGUCGGGCCGGGCACUCUAGAGGGACCGCCGGUGACAAGCCGGAGGAAGGUGGGGAUGACGUCAAGUCCUCAUGGCCCUUAUGGGCUGGGCCACACACGUGCUACAAUGGCGGCGACAGAGGGCAGCGAGCGUGCGAGCGCGAGCUAAUCCCGAAAAGCCGUCUCAGUUCGGAUCGCGGGCUGCAACUCGCCCGCGUGAAGGUGGAAUCGCUAGUAAUCGCGGAUCAGCACGCCGCGGUGAAUACGUUCCCGGGCCUUGCACACACCGCCCGU